rnacentral:lncRNA from 1 species
UACCAUGUAUUUUGUGAAGUUCUAUACACCAAAGAUCAAAUUAGGUUUGGAAAUCUAAAAAAAUCCUUCAGACUUACUUAAUCAUAUCUCUUUACUCCUAUGCAUGUAGCGAAGGUGGAGAUUUUGAGAAAAGAAUGACAAGCAUAGCCUAAAGAUUGUGAUUUUCCGAAAUGUAGAAAUAUCAUCUCGCCAAAACAUAUCAGAAGAC